rnacentral:rRNA from 1 species
GCGGCAACAGCUCAAAUUUGAAAUCUGGUCCCCUUGCGGGGCCCGAGUUGUAAUUUGAAGAGGAUGCUUCUGGCAAGGUGCCUUCCGAGUUCCCUGGAACGGGACGCCGCAGAGGGUGAGAGCCCCGUACGGUAGGACGCCGAGCCUCUGUGAAGCUCCUUCGACGAGUCGAGUAGUUUGGGAAUGCUGCUCAAAAUGGGAGGUAAACCCCUUCUAAAGCUAAAUACCGGCCAGAGACCGAUAGCGCACAAGUAGAGUGAUCGAAAGAUGAAAAGCACUUUGAAAAGAGAGUUAAAAAGCACGUGAAAUUGUUGAAAGGGAAGCGCUUGCGACCAGACUCGCGCCCGUCGGAUCAGCCGUCGCUUGUCGGCGGCGCACUCCGGCGGGCUCGGGCCAGCAUCAGUUCGCCUCGGGGGGAGAAAGGCGGCAGGAAUGUGGCUCCUCGGAGUGUUAUAGCCUGCCGUGUAAUACCCCCGGGCGGACUGAGGACCGCGCGUAUGCAAGGAUGCUGGCGUAAUGGUCGUCAGCGACCCGUCUUGAAACACGGACCC